rnacentral:rRNA from 1 species
AGUGAACGCUGGCGGUAGGCCUAACACAUGCAAGUCGAACGGCAGCACAGUAAGAGCUUGCUCUUACGGGUGGCGAGUGGCGGACGGGUGAGGAAUACAUCGGAAUCUACUUUUUCGUGGGGGAUAACGUAGGGAAACUUACGCUAAUACCGCAUACGACCUACGGGUGAAAGCAGGGGAUCUUCGGACCUUGCGCGAUUGAAUGAGCCGAUGUCGGAUUAGCUAGUUGGCGGGGUAAAGGCCCACCAAGGCGACGAUCCGUAGCUGGUCUGAGAGGAUGAUCAGCCACACUGGGACUGAGACACGGUCCAGACUCCUACGGGAGGCAGCAGUGGGGAAUAUUGGACAAUGGGCGCAAGCCUGAUCCAGCCAUACCGCGUGGGUGAAGAAGGCCUUCGGGUUGUAAAGCCCUUUUGUUAGGAAAGAAAAGCAGCAGGUUAAUACCCCGCUGUUCUGACGGUACCCAAAGAAUAAGCACCGGCUAACUUCGUG